AUCACUUCACCUGGCCACAAAUCGACCACCACGACAUGGGGCAAGGCCGGGAGGGCCUCCAGCCUAUGAUGCUCCCUAGAGUUGGUUGCAGAUUCCUUGGUCGUCCACUUGCUCUAAGCCCCCUCGUGUUCGCCAUCUCCUAUGCGAUCUUGUGUUGAUCUCCUAUGCAUGAUGGUGCUGCCAGUUCGACGUGUUGGAGCCAUCUUCCCCAACUAUAAGGAGCUUUGCCACCGGCCUUCUCUGGAGAUGAUCAUUCCAACAUCAUCCGUCCACCUGAGUUAUCAUUUUGGGUACGUGUGUGAUAUCCUUGACACACCGGACCCAUUCCCCCUCUCUUCGGCGUUCGUUGUGGUUUCCUCCUCAAAGAAUCACAGCUGAUAGAGCCACCAUGCUCUGUUUCCCCAUCCCACUCUUUUAACCGUGACGGGUGGGACCCCCUGUCUAUCUUUCUCUCUCUCGCCCAAAGCGGUAUGGCGCCCUUUGGAAAUACGCCUUUAACUUUGAUUUCUAUGGAUUUUACUAUUUACAAUUUAAAUUCAAAUAUUUUGAAUGUACUUUUAGCAUCUUUUACUUUUAAACCAUAGGUCCAUAUGAGUUGAAACUUUUUUGCAUUAGUUUUUUCUCGAACUCAACUUUGUGGUUGUAAAGUUUUAAAAUUUUCUAUGCUAUCUAAAAUUUCUAGUACAAUAAAAUGUUUUAUGUGAAAUUUCUUUUCAUAUUAUUUUUCACAAGAAAAUAAUUGCCCUGCAGAGGACUAGGAGUAUUGUGACACUCUUCUAAACUAUGGCAAGCCGCAACAUUCAUUUGCAAGGAUGGCAUUGCAAUGCUAAUGGUUUUAUUUGAAAUAUAAAUCAUUUCUUGUUGCAUAAUUAUUAAAUAAUACAUCUUAUUAUACUAGAUGCAAUCCACUCAUUUGAUGCCAUAUUUUUAUGCUAGAUAUGUAGACUUUAUGAUCCAUGUCAUGAUUGAAUUGAUAUCUUAGUUACUUACCUUCAUAUUGUCAUGAUUAAUGUGGAUGCAUUAUCAUCAUCACCCGUGCACCACAUUUCAUACUAUGGCUCGGAUCAUUUUACUUUCAAGUUAAACCUGCUGAUAAUUCAACUUGCACAAGCUCUUGAUUGAGUCAUGGUGUCGCCAAAUCAAACUCACCAGUACAACUACACAUGCCUCAACGGGAGGCCCUAAUUUCGUCUACUGGCAUGCCUCUCGCGAGUGCCUCCAACUAGGGAAGGUUGUGCGCUUGCGCUAUCUUGGCCCAAUGGUCCGGCAUAACCUUUUGUGUCAGUAGGUUUACGAUACCGAUGUCCCCAUUUGGGACGAGUUUGUUAGGCCAUGAUGGUGGCGACCACAAAGGUGGCGAAUGUCAUGAGUUUACAUCGGGGCCACCCAUGGCAUAGCCAAAAGGGGAGUUUGUUGGAGUUUCCAGGAGAGUGUUAUGCAAUAGGUCAAUUUUGUCAGAACGUUGUUGGUCUACACGAAUGGGAGCAUGAGAUCAUGAGUUUCGUGGUUCGGGUAUAGUGUACUAACCCUUGCAGUGUGUAUAUCUAUUGAUAGCCACGUCCUCGAAUAUGGACACAAUUCAUGGUAGGUCACACUAUGGGUCAACAUUAAUAAAUAAUUGGCACACUUAAUAACUCUGAGGUGGCCCAUGCUGAUCGGUUGAAGAUCAUGAUGGUAAGUUUUUGACGGCGGUUACAAGGUAUCCCCGAGAUAGUAAGUUGGUCUUAGGGACCGUGAGAUAUCCACAUGCACACCAUGCAUAAUAGUAUCAUGUUCACACUCAUGCAUUAACAUGCUAAAUGCAUUGCUAUUGUUUGUCAUAUUUUCUUUGUUGGCUGUGAGUUUGCGAGUGCAUUCAAAGUACUCACCUUGCUUAUCAUGCGAUAUGCAGGAGAAGCCAUGCAAAGCAUUGAUGUCGAUCAAUAUGAUGCAAUCUAGGAUCAUGUCCUAGUAGUGUCCCUGUGGACUGGAGUUCCACUACUUUGUUGUUUCAUUGCAACGUAUUUCUUUCCUUAUCAUCGAGGCCACUCGAGAAGUCUACUAAAUAAUGUACAUAAGUGCAACCCCACCGUGUCUGCCGCUUGGCCUCGCUUAUCAUGUACUAUUUGGAACUUUGUAUCCACAAGAGAUCAAUAGAGCGAUUGUUUUUUGUUCCAAGCUGUUGUGUGUUGUCACAAGACUUGAUGUCUCGGCUGGUAAUCCGAGGUAAACCGGUUGCUCCGAGGCGGGGUGCCGCAUUUGGCCUUUAAGGCCCUAUAUGUGUAAGACUUGACAAUAAUGGUCAUAUUUGUGUAAUACGGUAUGUAAUGGAAAUAAGAGUCUUGAUUAAUC
rnacentral:lncRNA from 1 species